rnacentral:rRNA from 1 species
GACGAACGCUGGCGGCGUGCCUAAUACAUGCAAGUCGAACGCUUCUUUUUCCACCGGAGCUUGCUCCACCGGAAAAAGAGGAGUGGCGAACGGGUGAGUAACACGUGGGUAACCUGCCCAUCAGAAGGGGAUAACACUUGGAAACAGGUGCUAAUACCGUAUAACAAUCAAAACCGCAUGGUUUCGAUUUGAAAGGCGCUUUCGGGUGUCGCUGAUGGAUGGACCCGCGGUGCAUUAGCUAGUUGGUGAGGUAACGGCUCACCAAGGCCACGAUGCAUAGCCGACCUGAGAGGGUGAUCGGCCACGUUGGGACUGAGACACGGCCCAAACUCCUACGGGAGGCAGCAGUAGGGAAUCUUCGGCAAUGGACGAAAGUCUGACCGAGCAACGCCGCGUGAGUGAAGAAGGUUUUCGGAUCGUAAAACUCUGUUGUUAGAGAAGAACAAGGAUGAGAGUAACUGUUCAUCCCUUGACGGUAUCUAACCAGAAAGCCACGGCUAACUACGUGCCAGCCGCCGCAGUAA